CUUCGGAGUUCUGAGUUCUAGUUGGAGUCUGGUGAAGAAUCUGCUUACUGGAUCUGAGAUCUUGGCCUUGGAAGGUGCACAGGAAAGAAGAGGUGAGGAAUAUCUGGAAGCAAGAAUGAGGCAAAAACAAAAAAAAAAGGCAGCAAUAAAACCUGAAAAAACAAAAAAAAUUUUUUAAGGUUUCCAGGUCCUAAUCAAUAACAGGCUAUUAAACUAAACAGAACACAAUAAAACUAAACACCCAAACAAUUUAAGAUGCUCUUACUAAUGAGAUUUUACCAGAAUUAAUAAAAGAGGCAACUUUAUUUUUUUA